rnacentral:misc_RNA from 1 species
CUUUACAUGGGUUAACUUCACACUAGAGGAGCAAGCUAAGGUGAUUGUGGCACCACGAAGCAACAAUGAGAUGGAUGCAUCCAAGUUGAAGAAGGAGUUUCCGGAAUUGCUGUCAAUGAAGGAGUCCCUGAUCAAGUAUGUUUUUGAACCAAAUAAGAAAGUCUGAACUAAAGCAGCACCAUAGAUCUUGUGUUGCAUUACAAAUGCCUAAGAGUAUUGCUAGCGAUUCAAUUCUGCUAGUCAUUCAAUUUGGGUCAUCUCAUUUUUUCUACCAUGCUAGAAAGUGAAGUAUUAGGCAUGC